CUGACCAAAAUAAUGGGGCAGGACCGAGAGCUUCGACUAGAAUUUGGUAGGCAUUUUUACUCCAAGUUGGAGUCAGCAUGCCGUAAAUUAAGAGAAAUAGGUACCACAUUGCAAUACUUCCCCACACAAAGAGAUGCUGAAUCCACGUAAAGUGGCUCAUUGUGAGAGCAAUCUGGCAGUUCACAGCCCACACGAUGCAACUGAACAUAGUGGUACCCAUAGCAGCCAUAUCAGCCGUCUGGCCAUUAGCACGGAAGGCCUGGUCGUAGAAGAUGAUAAUGUUGAGGAAGUAGAUUAUGAGAGAGCAGUAGACACCAUUGCCCAUCCACCCCAGUAUCCUGUACCAAUCGAAGAACAGAUUUCUAGGUCCUUGU
rnacentral:lncRNA from 1 species